rnacentral:misc_RNA from 1 species
GAUGAAGAACGUAGCGAAAUGCGAUAAGUAGUGUGAAUUGCAGAAUUCAGUGAAUCAUCGAAUCUUUGAACGCACAUUGCGCCCCUUGGUAUUCCAUGGGGCAUGCCUGUUCGAGCGUCAUUGCUGCCCUCAAGCACGGCUUGUGUGUUGGGCCCCGUCCUCCGAUCCCGGGGGACGGGCCCGAAAGGCAGCGGCGGCACCGCGUCCGGUCCUCGAGCGUAUGGGGCUUUGUCACCCGCUCUGUAGGCCCGGCCGGCGCUUGCCGAUCAACCCAAAUUUUUUAUCCAGGUUGACCUCGGAUCAGGUAGGGAUACCCGCUGAACUUAAGCAUAUCAAUAAGCGGAGGA